AUGAAAGGAAAGACUGUUGAAGCAGGACCAUCCGUUCGCCAGCAGUCCAAGGACAAGGGAAAGAAAGUGGUGUUGGAGAAAUCCGAGUUUCCGCCACUUGUUUACAAGGGAAAAGAGAAGAUGGUGGAGACACCCAACUCCAAGCUACCUGGGAAAAGAGGCGGCGUUGCGGUCAUAUUGCCGUCAGCGUCGUCUUCAACAGGAAGGCCCACCAACGCUCGGAAUAUACUUCGAGCCAAUGCUCCUGAGUUUGUCCCCUCACUGGCCCAUAAACCUAGUGAGGAAUGCUUGGGAAUAAUGCAAAAACGUUUCCUGGAAUGGAAGGGAGUGUACCUUACACCUGGUGACCUCAAAACAGGCCACAUAGAUCCAACAUUUGCACCAUCAGUUCCUCUGUUUGAAGAAGCACCCAUCUUAUGAGAGUCCUUUGAAGGUUCGUUUGAUCCAAUGCGACAUCAAUGGCGACAGAGAAAUGUCCGUCAAUCUUGGAUUGAUCUUCCAGCUGCCGUAGAUCAUGAUGCGGCGAGCCGACACCGUUCUCAUGUGAGCAUGUCUGUCAAGUGGAGAUGGAAAAACACUCGUCCAAAGAUCCAAGUUCAGAAUCCAGAUGAAUCAUAUGUUGUUCUUCCCGAUGCAUCCACAUCACAAAAUGAUGAGGGUGGUGCCAUCAUGCGACUGGUGGAGGCCCUGGCCCAACGACCUGAGUACCAAGAGCAGCAGCAUCCUAAACACCAAGAGUAUGUGAACCAAGCUGCUUGUGUCCGUUCAAGAAGGGCGAUGUACAAAGAAAGAGAAAGGGCAGCACGGGCAAGGUCUGGGUCGAGCAGAGUCCAAGGGGCAGAACACAUUCCAUCGGAUGAGGACAUUCGGGCUAAAACCAAGAAUAAAUCAUUCGAGGUGUUCCAAGCAAUGCCAGUUGGUGUCAGGGCGGCGUCACACAAGACCAGCGAAACAUCCUCCACAUCAAUACAUUUCAAGAGGAAGAAGGCACGCAAAACUGUCGUAGAAGGUCCUCAUUGUAAGACACGAAGCCAAAAGGGUUCAGAUUAUGAAGAACUUGGGUCCAGCUGUGGUGGGUCUUAUAAUCCCCUAUCGGACAGUACCCCUUGUCCUUAUGAAAAUGAGAUAGAACUCCGCCAUAGUGCAGAGCAU
rnacentral:rRNA from 1 species